rnacentral:rRNA from 1 species
AGGGUUCGAUUAUGGCUCAGGAUGAACGCUGGCGGCGUGCUUAACACAUGCAAGUCGAACGAAGCACUCUAUUUGAUUUUCUUCGGAAAUGAAGAUUUUGUGACUGAGUGGCGGACGGGUGAGUAACGCGUGGGUAACCUGCCUCAUACAGGGGGAUAACAGUUGGAAACGACUGCUAAUACCGCAUAAGCCCACGGUACCGCAUGGUACUGAGGGAAAAGGAUUUAUUCGCUUUAGGAUGGACUCGCGUCCAAUUAGCUAGUUGGUGAGGUAACGGCCCACCAAGGCGACGAUUGGUAGCCGGACUGAGAGGUUGAACGGCCACAUUGGGACUGAGACACGGCCCAG